rnacentral:rRNA from 1 species
UACGUAGGGUGCAAGCGUUGUCCGGAAUUAUUGGGCGUAAAGAGCUCGUAGGCGGUUUGUCGCGUCUGCUGUGAAAACCCGAGGCUCAACCUCGGGCCUGUAGUGGGUACGGGCAGACUAGAGUGCGGUAGGGGAGAUUGGAAUUCCUGGUGUAGCGGUGGAAUGCGCAGAUAUCAGGAGGAACACCAAUGGCGAAGGCAGAUCUCUGGGCCGUAACUGACGCUGAGGAGCGAAAGCAUGGGGAGCGAACAGG